rnacentral:tRNA from 4 species
GCCGGGGUGCCCGAGCGGACCAAGGGGCUGGCCUUGAGAGCCAGUAGGGGAAACCCUGCACGGGUUCAAAUCCCGUCCCCGGCG